rnacentral:rRNA from 1 species
AUCGAACGCUGGCGGCAGGCUUAACACAUGCAAGUCGAGCGCCCCGCCAGGGGAGCGGCCGACGGGUGAGUAACGCGUGGGAACGUACCUUUUGGUUCGGAACAACUCCGGGAAACUGGAGCUAAUACCGGAUAAGCCCUAACGGGGAAAGAUUUAUCGCCGAAAGAUCGGCCCGCGUCUGAUUAGCUAGUUGGUGAGGUAACGGCUCACCAAGGCGACGAUCAGUAGCUGGUCUGAGAGGAUGAUCAGCCACACUGGGACUGAGACACGGCCCAGACUCCUACGGGAGGCAGCAGUGGGGAAUAUUGGACAAUGGGCGCAAGCCUGAUCCAGCCAUGCCGCGUGAGUGAUGAAGGCCUUAGGGUUGUAAAGCUCUUUUGUCCGGGAAGAUAAUGACUGUACCGGAAGAAUAAGCCCCGGCUAACUUCGUG